rnacentral:rRNA from 1 species
UACGUAGGGUGCGAGCGUUGUCCGGAAUUAUUGGGCGUAAAGAGCUUGUAGGCGGUUUGUCGCGUCUGCCGUGAAAAUUCGAGGCUCAACCUCGAACUUGCGGUGGGUACGGGCAGACUAGAGUGUGGUAGGGGAGACUGGAAUUCCUGGUGUAGCGGUGAAAUGCGCAGAUAUCAGGAGGAACACCAAUAGCGAAGGCAGCUCGCUGGGACGGUAUUGACGCUAAGGCGCGAAAGCGUGGGGAGCAAACAGG